rnacentral:lncRNA from 1 species
GCCUUAGCGAGGCCAUGGGGGAAAAAGUCUAACUGGCGGAACUCCUGGGAACUGGGGCGAUGGGCUCUUAGUAUCGGAGGAUUGGAGCCAUCUGAUUUUUACCUGAAAUUCCUUAGUCUCUCCUGUGUUGGGGAAAUGGUCACCUUGCCUUCAGGGACCUGGGCUUUCAGCUGUCCAUACCUGGCCCUGGUUGAUGGCGGCAUGCUGGGCAGUGCACGUGAAGACGCACAUGCCCCGCAGCAGUUCCCGAGACCUUGUGCCUCCUUCCCCGACGCCGCCUGCUCACCGGUGCCCUCGGGCAGGCUCAGGAUGUCCUCGCCCUGCACCCAGCGGUAGCACGGGAAGGCCACCUCCGCGCAGGCUCCAGGGCCCUGCACCGUGAUGCGGUCGCAGAACCACGCGUCGUCCACCAGCCAGUGGUGCUUGCGCAGCCUCACGAACUGCAGGAGCCCCAAGUCCUCUGCAACGUCAUGAUCAAACUCCUCCUCCUGUGCAGGCCGGACCCAGGCCAGACUUAGUAGGAGGGACCCGACUGAGGCCGUUUCGAGGACAGAGCCGCGCUCCUGUGCAACCUCAGUUUCUCAGGGCCUCCAAAGACAGCAUCGCCUCGUUCCCGCCCCCGCACAACCUGCUCUUUGGGUCUCAGACGCCCGGAGUCGGGUGGAGGACGAGGGCCCGCAGCGCCUGGAGCUGAUGCUGGAGCAGCAUCGCCCACGUGGGUCCCAUUAACUGAGCUCUCCCCGCGCCGGUUCUUGGAGGAGCUUCACGUCUGACCUCUGGCCUCAUACUUACAUUGGCUCUGGGUCACUGGGAGAAGGAGCUGGGGGCUGCC